ACUUAAUUGAAGUUGGACUUAACUGAAGUUGGACUUAAUUUAAGUUGGACUUAAUUGAAGUUGGACAUAAUUGAAGUUGGACUUAACUGAAGUUGGACUUAAUUGAAGUUGGACUUAAUUGAAGUUGGACCUAACUGAAGUUGGACUUAAUUGAAGUUGGACAUAAUUGAAGUUGGACUUAACUGAAGUUGGACAUAAUUGAAGUUGGACAUAAUUGAAGUUGGACAUAAUUGAAGUUGGACUUAACUGAAGUUGGACUUAAUUGAAGUUGGACAUAAUUGAAGUUGGACAUAACUGAAGUUGGACUUAAUGGAAGUUUGUUCGACUUAACUCAUUAAUUUCAAAUUAGUUAAAAAGUUAGGAGACAUUGAGUUAGACAAACAUAAUUGCUUAAGGUUGAAAGCAAGCCAGUGUGGAAAUACCUUCUUUGUUUAUAUGUAGGUUCAUCCAAAGAACACCUUAUCAGUGUAAACACAUUUUAAAUGUUGACAGGAAGUGAAGAGAGGCACUCUGAGUGUCACCGCAAUCUUUGGAAGUGCCUCUGUGAGUUUGGACGUUAUCUGAUGAGCUUCUUAAAGGCAGCAGGCUGAAUAAAACUCAACUUAUAUAUCAGGGGUUUCUCUAGAAAGAUAUAGUAUGAGUCCCUGACGAAAGGCCAUGGUCGAGGCCAUUAUAUAUUUUUUUAACUUUGUACUUUUAUAGUUAUUAGAGAAGAAGGAAGAGAGAUCAACAUGUGUGAGAUAAAAAAAAGUUUCUGAAAAACAUCUAAACUGUAGAUACAACAAUGUAAUUGGGUUUACUCAAAGAAAAAUAUGACUUUUCUUAAGUUGUUUUUCUUAAAUCUCACUUUUCUCAGAAGCUCUUUAAGGAAGUUAUUAGCUUGCUGCCUUCAAGAAAAUCUCAAUAUAUAGUUUUUUAGAGAUGUUUGUUUUGUGUUACCGGGCAGAUUACCACAAAAGAUAUCAAAGAGUAAAGUUAUCUGGAACUGUACCCUGUCGAACACAAACCAUCUCCUUUUAGUUCAUUGGAUUAACGGCAAUAACACAAUGGGUUCAAUUAGCACCUGGUGAUUUUUAGCUCUACACCUCACAGAAGCACUUAUUGCUACAACAAAUCCUGAUGUGUGUGUGUGUUCAGCUGGUGGAAAACACACUUUAAACACACACACACCACGUCUAAUAUCUUUGUCUACCUACUCUAUUUCCUCACACACACCGCCAAAAUGAUAUAUAUACUGUAGGGAGCAAAGAUUCAAUAUUAGCAAUCAUAUUGCAAGAAAAUACAUUUGUGAAAAAGAAAAA